UGCUAUGGAUGCUUCAAAAUGCUGAUCCUCAACCUGAGUCGUUGAACGAGCUGGUCGAGUUUUAUUCUUGCUGAAUUCAGAAUGAGUGUGAUCUUAUUAUUUUAUGUAUACAUUUUGAAUUCAUUUUUGCAUAUGUAUAAACAAUUCGAGUCAAAAAGAAUAUUUAGUUCAGUUAAACUUGCUGAAUUCGCCCCAUGUGGUGUAUGUUUUUUUUAAAGAAGAAUUGAUGAUUUAAUUAUUAGCAAUGUAGUAAGAAAAGAAGAUGAUAUGAUUGACAGAUUGUUCAAAUGGAUGGUCUCACAAUUGAGGGAGAAGACUAAUCAGAAUGAGAGUGAUCUUAUUAUUAUAUGUAUACGUUUUGAAUUCAUUUUUGCAUAUAUAUAAACAGUUCGAGUCAAAAGCAAUUAGUUCAGUUGAACCUGCUGAAUUCGCCCUACAGUCGUGAAAGUUUUUUUUAAAACAAGAUUUGGUGAUUUGAUUAUUAGCAAUGUAGUAAAAAAAGAAGAUGAUAUGAUUAACAGAUUGUUCAAAAUGGAUGAUCUUAAAAUUGAAGGAGAAGACUAAUGAUUACUUAGCUUAUUAUUUUUCUUUAAUGGAUUUGGUUGCAUUCUUUAAUGUAUGCAUUUAUUCUUUUCAAUUGUUAUGUGAAAAUCUAGUCUUCCUCUUGUUCUUU
rnacentral:lncRNA from 1 species